CUACGGGUCGCAGCAGUGGGGAAUAUUGCGCAAUGGGCGAAAGCCUGACGCAGCGACGCCGCGUGAGGGAUGAAGGUCCUCGGAUCGUAAACCUCUGUCAGAAGGGAAGAAGUUGUGUUGUGCUAAUCAGCAGCACAUUGACGGUACCUUCAAAGGAAGCACCGGCUAAUCCGUGCCAGCAGCCGCGGUAAUACGGAGGGUGCGAGCGUCAAUCGGAAUCACUGGGCGUAAAGCGCACGUAGGCUGUUAUGUAAGUCAGGGGUGAAAUCCCACGGCUCAACCGUGGAACUGCCCUUGAAACUGCGUAACUUGAAUUCGGGAGAGGGUGGCGGAAUUCCAGGUGUAGGAGUGAAAUCCGUAGAUAUCUGGAGGAACAUCAGUGGCGAAGGCGGCCACCUGGACCGAUAUUGACGCUGAGGUGCGAAAGCGUGGGGAGCAAACAGGAUUAGAUACCCCUGUAGUC
rnacentral:rRNA from 1 species